ACCCCAAGGGAAAAUAUGGCUUUAUGUUAAUAUUGCAGCCAGUCAAAGCCACCCUUAUCACCACUGGCAUCAACUUCCGGAAAGAAACUGUAAUGGGGUGCAAGGGAAAGAAAUAAUAACAACAGGAGCAAAACAAGAGUAAACAUGAGAGCAGCUUUCCAAUGCUGGGAAUAGCUCCUGGACAGAAAAUUAAAUAAAUGAAUGAUCAUGCAGAGUAUGCCUCUAAACUUGCAUAGUAGGAGAGAGAGCUAAUGACUGCCAUGUAGCAAGAAGAUGUAAAGAAAGCUAAUUGCAACUGCAGCUGUUAUGAUCCAAUGUUGUCAGUGUUUGUUUUAUGUAUGACUCCUGCCACCAGAGGAUGGCUGUGGGUUUUUUUUCCUCUUUCUCUCUUAGGAGGUGGACACCUGGGCGUGCCUGCUGAGUAGUUGGGUGGAGUCUCUUCCUAUCCUCGGAUUGGAUAAUUGGUUGAUCACCUCCAGUAUUUAACUACCAGAUGACAGCCACCUGGCCCCCUCUCCACUAGCCUCCACCAUCCAACAAAGAGCAUGUGUUUUUGAUUCGUUGAAAGGCCUGAGCAUAAAUGGACUAAUGUUUUUUAAGUGGCAGCUAAAUAUACAGUUCGUCUGUUUCCUGGGGAGGGAAAGAGUCAUGUUUGACACACUCAGAGAUGGACUACGAUAUACCAUGAAAAGCCAGGCAGUUCAGUGCAGAUGAAAGUGGUAACAAUGCAGUACUGUGGUGAAGUUUACAGUAAUGCACUAUGCUUGACUGGUACAGAGCAGGCUGUGGUGUGAGGUUACAUCAAGGGUAGGAGCCAUCAAUUUAAAUUUAAGCUGUCUAUUGUGUACGACUGCAACGAUUCAUCGAUGAUGGCACAGUUCGGAGUCUGUUUGCACACCGCGAAGAAGCAAAGAGGCGGAGCCUUUACUGAGACGGUGAGCUCAGGUUGAGGGAAAGAAAACGUGUCAAAACAGCAGCGAUGUUCCUGUAAUCACCAUGAAAACCUUCACUGGUAAAAAGCGAGCGGGAGUCCUUCACCAAAGCACCUAGUCAACAAACUCCGACAUAAAGAAAAGCAAACUUUGUAGCUGCUCAAUCCACCGCUGUUUGUUUUACACAGCGUAAAAUCUACAGUAAGUCUCCAGAUGUUGUAUUAAAAUAAGCAGAUGAUCUGAUAACUUUGUUUGAUACCAGACUAAGUAAAUUAUACAGCUUGCUGAAGGUUGAAGGCAGCCGUCCUAUGUAAUAUGGAAGUAUACCUGCAGCAAGCAGGGGUGAGUCUAAAGGGGGGCAUGGGGUGUACUAGACCACAUGUAUUUCAAGGCUUUCAUAACAUUUUUCCAGAUUGAAAUAAUAUAAGAUAUAAAAAAAUAUAAAAAUAAAAGCUUUUUUCACAAGCUAAUUGUUUGUAAAGUUUGGACACUGAAUCAGUGUUAAUUAAUUAGUGUCUACAUCAUCAUAAUGUCCUUUUUCAGCAGCACAAAAACUUGCCUCCUAUUCACGUCACAAAGCCUUCCAAGAAGAGUAAAGAUACACUUUUAUGCCUUAGUUUAGACUGCAUAUAUGUAUGUGUAU